UAUUAAAUAUCUUAAAUAAAGAGUUGAAUUUUUAAUUCAAAAAUGGUAUAUAAUUUAUCUUUAAUAA
rnacentral:tRNA from 1 species